rnacentral:lncRNA from 1 species
GUGGUUUUAGUGCUAUGAUCGUGUAACAUCGGGGACGGGAGUUGUUAUGCUUAUGCUAAUGUUGAUUUUGUUAUUUUGAAUUUUAGUAUUUUAUUUAUGAAGUUGCUAUAAAGUGUUUUUCCGUUGCAUAAUAUUCAAAUUAUUUGAUGUGUUUUCAAAGGGUUGUCGUUGGUGGCAACUUAAAUUAUCGAGUAGUGCUUUUUAUAUAAGUUUUGGGGUUUAGGGUGUCAUAACUCCAGUUCCAUGCGUAAUGUGUGGAUGGGUACUUGGAGUGGUACCUUGAUGCAACCACAAGUGCACGACUAUCAUGAAGUAAUAAAAUAGAUAUCGAACCAUAAAGACCAAUGAUUUAAGUAUCGAAUUCUUGUCCUAUCGGUGUAUAUAUAGAGAAAUCAAAAAGAGAGAUUUUUGGUAAAUAGCUUAAAAGAAAAAGCACCUAAAUAGAAAUAGCUUAACAAAAAAAUCACUUAAACCUCAAAUUCGGACAAACAGGACUAGGGGUUUGAGUUCAUGUUUCUAACACAAUCAUACGAUCCUUGUUACACCUAUUACGAGAACUUUGCAUAUAUUAUAAAAAAUAGAUAAAAUUGGGCAUUGUCUGCUUUCACUAGUGCAUUGCCCCUAUCAUCGAAGAAUAAUCUUUCGGCUUUCGAAUCGUCUAGAUUAUUAUUCGAUGAAUAAUUACUCUUUCCUAGUUAUAUGUUUUCUCAAAUUCGUCUGUUGGCUUUCACAUCAUCCAUAUUAGAUUGUUUAAAAAGUGUGCUCCGGUAUCAACACAUAUCCUUUCAGACUAUGGUCGAUACCUGGGAACCACUUACUUUCGUAACAAAGUUGGAAUGCACGAACUCAGAUUAUAAAAUAAGUUUAAUUAAAAUUCUUGCAAUCAAUAGUAACAAAUCAUACAAUAUGUCAGGAAACAAUCUCCAAAGCCCCUAGUCCCUAGGAAACUACUCAUUCAUGGUGAGGGCAAACACAAUCACAAGGAUAUUCAUCAUCAAACUCAUAACUAUCAAACACAAGGGAUGAAUAAUGUAAAGAGAAUGCAUUAUAAAACCUGAAAUAUGAAUAACCUUGUUCCACAAAUUGCUCCCUUGGAGACUUGAGUUACAAAGAAAAGUAGAACAAAAACUAGGAAUGAAAAGUGACAAAAGUUGGGAACCCUAAACUCAUAACAAGCUAUGAGUUUUAUAGGGAAAUAAUAAAAGUUAUAAAAAUAUUUGGUUCAAUGCAAAAUAUACAGAUUUGAUGCAUAUCUAAUCAUGCUUAAAAGCAGUAAUUAAGAGUAAAUCAUUCUAUUUAUGGAAGAAAAAACAAAUCUUGAUUUUUCUCUCGCCUCUCUGCUACGACCCGUAGCAGGCCCAUGGAUCUACUACUAGGAAGCUUAAAAUAUGGGGGCUAAUGCAUCAUGUUGGUAUGGCCCGUAGCAGCUGCUACGGGUGGCCAUAGCAACCCCCUGGUUUUUGUAUGGGAGAAAUUUCCAAAAUGCUGUUUUGCUCAGUUUCUCUUGCCUCUGAUCCCUAUUUGUCUUGGAUGCUCAUUAGACUUUGGAAUUCACAAGAAAACACAAAACAAAUCAUAAAACAUGACAAAUGAAAGGAAAUUGAACAUAAUGCGGUGAAUUUCUAAAUGAAAAUGACUAGAAAGAAAGAUGCAAAGACCAUUUAUCAAACUUCCUCAAACUUAGACAUUUGCUUAUCCUCAAGCAACAAAGCUUGCAUUCGUGAGUUUUAGGAUCAAGAGGUCAUAUCAUGAUAAAACAUACGAAAACAUGGUCAACGGUACUCAUACGUGAGUCUUUGUUCCAGUCGGUUAGGCUUAGUUCUCUUGGUAAUCAUCAGUCAACGAAGAUAUUCGCAAGAAUACUCACAAUGGUAAAAUCACAAACCUAAGUCUCUCUUUUGGACACCUUUCCAACUAUGCUUUGAGCUUAAGUCUCUUUUUUGAUUUUCUUUCCCUUUCAUUCAUACAAUUAUAUUAAGGCAUUUGAAAUUAUUUAUGGCAUCACAUGCAUAAGAUCGAUCGAGAUUUUUUUUGGCGAGGCACCUUAUUUUUUUCUUUUUCGAUGAAUUUAUGCACUUUGGUGUUUAUUGGUCCACUUUGGGAAAAAAAUUGAGAAUCAACCGCCGUUAGGCUAAAUAAUCGGGUGAGAGUUACCCAACUUAGAAGGUCCAGUUUCAUUUAUUUUCUUUUCAUCAUUUUGGUGCACGAAUUAUUUAUUUCUCAACCAAUCAUACAUACAUUAAAAUCUUAAAUCAUGUUGUACUGUCAAUAUAAACUAAUCGGGAAAUACUUCUCAGAGUCGAGUACUAUGGCACAAAUCUACAUGUUGGACUCACAUCCUUACUUAGAGGGACCUAAGAUGUUUAGGUAAUACCUAAGUUUUUAAACUUUCCCAGUGUCCUUAGUCCUAGCCUUUCUUCCCUCAAACUCUAUAUACUUUCUUAUCUUCCCAACAACCAAAGCUUGUCAUAAUAUUUUUUCACGGUCUUAGUUUAGGGGAAAACUACAAAAAGAUGGUCUUAUGCAUCAAUCAAACUAGAAAAUAACUAAAAAUAACUAAAAAUAAUAAAGAAACAAAAACAUAGAAGUGAAAUAAAUAAAAAUUCAAUAAAAAUAAAAGAAAAAAUGCAAAAAAAUAAAUAGAUACCCCCCAAAUUUGAACCAAAAGAGGAAGUAGAACUCACAAGAACCUUAUUUCGGAGGUGGGAACCAUAACAUAAGUUGUUGAAUCAUUUCUUGGACGUCAUCCAAGACCACUCCUUGCCUAUUUUGUUCCUCCUUCAUGAGCUUUUUAUUAUCUGGAAGAAAAAUAAAACAACAAGAAAACAAAUUAGGUCAAAAAAUGUGUGUGCUUCCCACAUAUCGCUUUGUUUAAUGUCAUUUUAGCUCGAAGGUCAAUGAGUGCAAGCACUCACGGUGGCUCUUUCAAAAAUAAUUUCUCAACCUCACUCUCAGUAGUAUUAUAUGUCCAUGCCCAGUUAUCAAGCCAUAUCUCAUAUCCAUUAUUCUUAUUUUUCUUUUUCCUAUGGGAUGGUUCAUACUUCUGACUUAUGGGGAUGAUUCUGUUUCUAUCCUAAAUAUCAACUUUUUUGGUUUAGAUUUGAUCCUUUCAUCCCCCACCUCAAAGGUCAACCUUCCCCUCUUAACAUCAAUAUUUUUCUCAGUUUCAUGGUCCUAUAAUAUUCUCUUUUUAGACUAGACAUUGGUUAAUGGUGCUUUAGUAAUGAUCUUUUGCAUUAUUUCCACAUACCUUGGACUGGGUGUCUACCUUAUCUUCCACAACUCUUUGCUGGAAAGGAAUCAGUGGCUUGUAGGGAGGAGGAUCAAUAUAAGGUGUUUCCUUCUCUACCUCUUCGACAACCUCCUUUUCGGGUGGUGUCGGUGGAUUUUCUACCUUUUUCUCACAAGAACUCCCCUCAACCUUAUUAUCAUUCUCCCUAGAAUUUUCAACUUGUUUUUCACUUAUAUUUGUUACAACACUCACAUGUACCUUAGAGUUUUGCUUAGGUUACUUUCGAAAUGACCCGCAUGGAGUGGAGGAAGCAGCUUGUUGUUGAGCUACUUGGGAGAUUUGAGUCUCCAACAUUUUGGCAUGGGUGAAAAUAUUGUCAACCUUAGUGUCCAACUUCCUGAGUGUCUCAUUGGUGAGGAGGUUUUGAUUUCUAAACUCUUCAUUCAGGAGAGUUUGUGUUGCUAUAAAACUUUUCAUCAUAGAUUCCAUAUUAGAGUGAGUUUGUAUCUCAAUAAAAUUCUCUAGUAAAAUUUCGAGAUUGGAUUAUUGAGAAUUUGGUGGUUCCUCAAAAUAUUGGAAGUGGUUGUUGUAACACCCCGAUAAAAUAAGAUAAUUAUUUAAUUUAAGUUAAUAUUAUAUUUAUUAAUUUAAUUAAAUAAUUUAGAAUAUUAUUGGAUUUUAUUAUUGGAAUAUAUAAGUUGGAAUAAGAAAAAGAGUUUCAUUUGGUAAAGGGGUUUCACGUGAAAACAGAGAAGCGCAGAGAAGUGGAGAAGGGCNNNNNNNNNNNNNNNNNNNNNNNNNGGAGCCUUGCGAGGGGAAUUAGUCGAUGUUCGACAUCUCGGCGGGAGGUAGCCCUACCGGUUCCCCAAAAGCUGUUCGUGGACAAGCAAUUUCGUGUAACCUGAACAUCGCGUAAGAUCUAACAUGUGUUGGAUGACAUGAAUCUAGUGAUGAUCCCAUGCUGGGUUGCCUAUCCUUUCGAGAAGAGAGUCUAAUAUACCUUGUAGAUGGCUCACUGGGCAUUGUUACCAAUGAUACGUUCACUCCUCCAUUGAACAAAGUAUUCUCCAGUCGAACUGUCUAUCUUGUUACACAGGAAAAAAUGCUUCUUGAGACGGAAUUGACUUUUCUUCCACUGGAUAUGACUGAAUCAUUGCAUUCAGAUUUGCCGUAGAGUUAUUAUAUGACUAGCCAAUAUUGACUUUAUUUUGAUUUAUUCAUUGACUACAUAACGGAAUAUUUUACUAUGUUGUUACAAGACCGGUCACAGUGAGUGCCACCCAUGGGAAGCUGAGAAAUUCUUUAUAGGUCCCGGAUGAUCACGGGAUCUGACGUGAACUAUUGUAUUGCAGUCUCCUGCCAUAGUGAAUAUUUAUUGACCAUGCUGACGAUUAAUUAUUAUCCUUUGUUGACGAUGCAUAAGGAACAUCUUUCUUCCCCAUCUUCCAUUUGGUGAGCUUGAGAUGACGUAUACUUGUUGAUAUCUAUCCUUCUCUCUCUCUCAUCUCUCUCUCUCUCUCUUCCUCCUCUCUCUAGUAUAGUUUAUUACCAUCCUCUCAUUAGCCAGGGGUUUAUGUAUUACUUUGCACAGACUUAGGGUGUUACUGAGGAGCAAAUGUUAGGAAGUUUAGGACUAAAAAGGGCUUAAUUUUCUUAUUAGCUGCUUGCGAGAAUUAUAAGCAUCAGCGCAUGUUAUGGGGGGUAAGGGCAUCGUGCUUUAGGGGGGUACAAUUAAAAAAAUAUUUUGGGGCUACAUCUUGUAGCGUUUUUAUCUUAGAGGAUAAAUAGUAUUAUCAAUGAAAUACAUGUGGUUAUUUAGUACGCCUUGAGCAUGUCGAUUGGCAUGAGGGUCCGCAUCGACGUCCAUAUGUCACUUGAAUGAACUGCUCGUUUGAACAAGGCAACUUAUCCAGUUUAUGAGUCAAUUUCAGUAUAAAAAUUAUAUUUUUGUUAUUUUAAUUCUUUUAUGACAUUUAUGAUUGCCUAGUGUGUUGCAGUUGCGAUAUACGAGGCAUUUUCCGCUCAAGUUGUGAAAGGUGUGUCCUAUGCCUACCAUAAUGCCUCCACAUGGCCAGAGAUUAGCAAGACAGCAUACCAGAGUGAUUGUGGAUUUUUUUGAAAGAGGUAUGCGUCACCUUAAUGAUCUCAUCUGCGACACCCACAUACACAUCCAUAUAGUGCUACGAGUUCUAAUGCACUAUUUUUUAUGGUAUUUUGUAUGGAGACCUUGGUGGCUAGACACUUCCGAGAGGUAUGUCCCACGUUUGGACAUCUAUUUAUACAUGCCAUAACCAAUCCUACCAUCAUUACUGAGGGCAUGAUUUUUGUUUGUAGUCAUUAUCAGUUUACCAUGUGCUUUAAAAUUGCGUGGAAGUUCAUAUAACACCUCAAAUUUUUAUUAUUAUUUAUGAUGCUCAGAAUUAUUAAGUUUAUAAUAUAUCUAAAUAAUGAUUAUGUAUGAAUAUAUGAUUAUAUGAACUAAUUGAUUUAUUGAGUUAUAUCAGGGAUUAGAACAAUUUUAUUUGAAUAAUAUAUGAAUGAUUAUAUGAUGAACGAAAAUACACAGUUGAUUGGGUGAAAAUUAAUUUAUUAUUAAUAUGAGUUAAAUAAAAUUAUAAAAUAUGAGUUGGGUGGGUGGAACAAUUAAUUUAUUAUUAGUACAGGUUAAUAUAUACAUUAGAAAAUAGAAUAUGCGGAUUGUUGAUAGUGGAAUAGAUGUUAGAGACAUAAGUAAUUAAAAGAGAUUGUUGUAGAAACUCUAAUAUAUAUUCUAAAAGAUGAGGGAGUUUAGGUUUCAGUCCAAGUGCUUAGAGAACUUGAGAAAAGCAGAGAGAACCUUAACGAGCCAAAGGAGAGAAAUCAUGGAGAAAAGCUUGUCUUGCUGUAAUUCUAAUGGUAGGGGAGCUUCACUAGGUAGAAUAUGCAUCAUUAGAGUACUCAGAGAGAAGUUUUACUCGUUAGGAUUGUAUAAUAAGUGUUAUGAGUAUUUUGUUAGAAAUUUGAAAUGAUGAUUGUCGAUGUUUUUUAUGGAUUUUUGGACUGAAAUGAUGCUGAUCGGUGUUAUGACAUAUAUAAAUACUGCCAUUGAGAAUGCUUUAAGCUAUGAUCGUGAAUAUGAUUGUUGGUAAAAAAUUGAUUAAAUUGUCAUGUAAAUUGCUGUAUGAUCUGAAUGGAUAUAGGUGCUAUAAGAUGAUUGAUUAUUAGAUAAGAUGUGUAUUGUUGAGUCUGUGUCCAUUGUUAAUUGGGAUGUGAAAUUUGGCUUGUGGUAAUCGUAGGAAUGAUUAGGCAUUGAGAUCAUGCGUUAAAACUGAAGGUUUUCUGGAAAAUAUCACUGUGACAAUUAUUCACACCCACAUGACAUCCUGCACGCGUUCAAUUUUUUGAAAAAAAUUAACAUGACUAUUUUGAUUGUUAGUGAUAAUUAAUGCGAUUUGUAAUUGGCUUUAAAAAUUGAUUUUUCGAAAAAAGUCAGAAUCAAAAUAUAUUUUGCAUGACAAUCGCAUUAGCAUAUACCUAUAUAGUCUAUUGUUGUAGCGUAUAUGAUGAAAAUUAUAUUUUUCAUCUCUUUGCAUCGUCUCAAUGUUUUAGCCAUGAAGUUAUAUUUCGGAGGUCCAAAUAAGUGUGCCUUUUGAAGCAUUGGAGAGCCUAAACACAUAGAGCUACCUCGUGUUAUGCUUCGGUGAAAUAAUUGAUAUUUAGUGUCGUGUUUCAUUAUGGAAUGUUAUUGAUGACAUUGUGAUUGAUUAGUGAGAUCAUGUUCCUUAAUGAUUGAGUUUGAUGAUAAUGACGUACCUGAUUGGAUGUUGUGUGAAUAUGAUUGGAUAAGGUAAUGUUGUUUUUAGUUGUAAAUUUUUAAUAUGAUUAAUUGUUAUGGUAGUUGAGAAUGAUGUUAGUGCAUAAUGAUUGAUAAAUGCCAAUGCUGAUUAUCAUAUUUUGUUGAGAAUGGAUCAUCCAUAUUAUGCAGAGUCAUGAUCUUGCGUACGAGCUUCAGUCCCAAUUUUGUAUCGCUUCUGUACGAUGGUACGGAUUUUGCUGACGCGAUAGUGUUGGUUCCAGAGGGAUCAGUGAAGAUGUUACUUAUGGUACGAUUAAUCAGUAAACAAUUGAGUGUCCUCUGAUCCUCAUUCUUCGGUAUCUUAUGUGACUCAUCAAUGUCGAACGAGUAGUACUAGUUCCAUAUGGGAAUUAGUGAAGUGUUACUUAUGGAUAUUAACAAUUUUAUGUGCUCUAGUUCUAUGGUAGGAUUAAGGGCGAUAUGAAACUAUGUGUCCAUGAAUGUACACCAGCAAUUAAUGCAUCAGUUGUGAAGUACAUUGCAUACAUGUUUGCAUAUGUAAUUUAUUGUUCAUCAUGUAUGAUUGGUUGGAAACUUGACAUAGUUAAUGAAUUGUUGGAAUAAAUGAUAUACCGAUAAUGUGUUAUGUUGUUAUGAAUGGUUGUGAGAAGCAUGGUGAUAUUGAUUGUGUAUUAAUGCGUUGUUAUUUAUAUGUUCUCUACCUUAGCACUCUUUACACUAUUUAUUUUGAAUGUUUAUUUCUCACCCUUUUUGCUCCAUGUUGUCCACAUUGACACUCCCGCAAAUACUCAGAAGUAAGCAUGGUUGUUGUACAUGGACGGUGCUUGUUGGAGCUACUCUUCGUUUUUUAUUUAGUGCUUUAUUUAUGAAUCAUGCGUUUAGUGCUAUGAUCGUGUAACAUCGGGACGACGAGUUUAGUUUGCUUAGCUAAAUGUUAUUGUUAUUUGAAUAUUUAGGUAUUUAUUAUGAAGUUGCUUAUAAAGUGUUUUUCCGUUGCAUAAUAUUCAAAUAUUUUAGUGUUUUCAAAGGUCUGUCUGUCCGUUGGUGGCACUUAAAUUAAUCGAGUAGUGCUUUUUAUAUAUAGUUGUGGGUUUAGAGUGUCAUAACUCCAUUCCAUGCGUUAAUGUGUGUGAUGUAGCUUGGAGUGGUACCUUGGAUGCAACCCAAGUGCACGAACUAUCAUGAAGUAAAAAUAGAUAUCGAACAUAAAGACCAAUGAUUAUAGUAUCGAAUUCUUGUCCUAUCGGUGAAUAUAUAUAGAGAAAUAAAAAGAGAGAUUUUUGUAAAUAGCUUUUAAAAGAAAAGCACCUAAAUAGAAAUAGCUUAACACAAAAAUCACUUAAACCUCAAAUUCGGAACAAACAGACUAAGGGUUUGAGUUCAUGUUUCUAACACAAUCAUACGAUCCUUGUUACACCUAUUACGAGAACUUUGCAUAUAUUAUAAAAAUGAUAAAAAUUGGCAUUGUCUGCUUUCACUAGUUGCAUUGCCCCUAUCAUCGAAGAAUAAUCUUUCGGCUUUCGAAUCGUCUAGAUUAUUAUUCGAUGAAUAAUUACUCUUUACUAGUUAUAGUUUUCUCAAAUUCGUCUGUGGCUUUCACAUCAUUCAUAUAGAUUGUUUAAAAAAGUUGCUCCCGUAUCAACACAUAUCCUUUCAGACUAUGUCGAUACCUGGAACACACUUACUUCGUAACAAAGUUGGAAUGCAGACAAUCAGAUCUUAUAAAAUAAGUUUAAUUAAAAUUCUCUUGCCAAUCAAUAUAACAAAUCAUACAAUAUGUCAGGAAACAAUCUCCAAAGCCCUAGUCCCUAGGAAACUACUCAUUCAUGGUGCAGGGACAACACAAUCACAAGGAAUAUUCAUAUCAUCCAACACUAUACAACUACAAACAAGGGAUGAAUAAUGUAAGAGAAUUGCAUUAUAAAACCGAAAUAUGAAUAACUGUUCCACAAAUUGCUCCCUUGGAGACUUGAGUUACAAAAAGAAAGUAGAACAAAAACAGGAAUGAAAGGACAAAAGUGAACCCUAAACUCAUAACAAGCUAAUGAGUUUAUAGGGAUAAAUAAAUAAGUUAUAAAAUAUUUGGUUCAAUGCAAAAUAUACAGAUUUGAUUGCAUAAUCUAUCAUGCUUAUAAAGCAGUAAUUAAGAGUAAAUCAUUCUAUUUAUGGAAGAAAAAACAAAUCUUGAUUUUUCUCCGCUCUUGCUACGACCCGUAGCAGGCCAUGGAUCUACUACUAGGAAGCUUAAAUAUGGGGGCUAAAAUCAUGUUGGUAUGGCCCGUAGCAGCUGCCUACGGGUGCCAUCAACACCCCUGGUUUUUGUAUGGAGAGAAUUUCAAAUGCUGUUUUGCUCAGUUUCUUUGCCUCUGAUCCCUAUUUGUCCUGGAUGCCUCAUUAGACUUUGGAAUCACAAGAAAACACAAAACAAAUCAUAAAACAUGACAAAUGAAAGGAAAAUUACAUAAUGCGGUGAAUUUCUAAAUGAAAUGACUAGAAAAGAAAAUGCAAAAGACCAUUUAUCAAACUUCCUCAAACUUAGACAUUUGCUUAUCCUCAAGCAACAAAAGCUUGCAUUCGUGAGUUGUAGGACACAAGGUCAUAUCAUGAUAAAACAUACCGAACAUGUGUCAACACGGUACUCAUACGUGGAUCUUUGUUCCAGUCGGUUAGGCUUAGUUUCUCUUGGUAAUAUCAUCUAGUCAAACAGAUAUUCGGCAGAAUGAUUCAUCAUGGUAAAAUCACAAACCUAAGUCUCUCUUUUGGACACCUUUCCAACUCUAUGCUUUGAGCUUAAGUCUCUUUUUUGAUUUUCUUUCCCUUUCAUUCAUACAAUUAUAUUAAGGCAUUUGAAAUUAUUUAUGCAUCCAUGCAUAAGAUCGAUCGAAUUUUUUUUGGCGAGGCACCUUAUUUUUUUCUUCGAUGAAUUUAUGCACUUUGGUGUUUAUUGGUCCACUUUGGGAAAAAAAUUGAGAAUCAACCGCCGUUAGGCUAAUAAUCGGGUGAGAGUUACCCAACUAGAAGUCCAUUUCAUUUAUUUUCUUUUCAUCAUUUUGGGCACGAAUUAUUUAUUUCUCAACCAUAUACAUACAUUAAAUCUUAAAUCAUGUUUACUGUCAAUAUAAACUAAUCGGGAAAUACUUCUCAGAGUCGAGUACUAUGGCACAAAUCUACAUGUUGGACUCACAUCCUUACUUAGAGGGACCUAAAGAUGUUUAGGUAAUACCUAAGUUUUUAAACUUUCCCAUGUCCUUAGUCCUAGCCUUUCUUCCCUCAAACUCUAUAUACUUUCUUAUCUUCCCAACAACCAAGGCUGUAUAAUAUUUUUUCAACGGUCUUAGUUUGGGGAAAACUACAAAAAGAUGGUCUUAUGCAUCAAUCAAACUAGAAAAUAACUAAAAUAACUAAAAAUAAUAAAGAAACAAAAACAUAGAAGUGAAAUAAAUAAAAAUUCAAUAAAAAUAAAAGAAAAAAUGCAAAAAAUAAAAGAUACCCCCCAAAUUUGAACCAAAAGGGAAGUAGAACUCACAAGAACCUUAUUUCGGAGGUGGGAACCAUAACAUAUGUUUAUCAUUUCUUGGACGUCAUCCAAGACCACUCCUUGCCUAUUUUUUCCUCUUCAUGAGCUUUUAUUUAUCUGGAAGAAAAUAAAACAACAAGAAAACACAUUAGGUCAAAAAUGUGUGUGCUUCCCACAUAUCGCUUUGUUUAAUGUCAUUUUACUCGAAGGUCAAUGAGUGCAAGCACUCACGGUGGCUCUUUCAAAAUAAUUUCUCAACCUCACUCUCAGUAGUAUUAUAUGUCCAUGCCCAGUUAUCAAGCCCUAUCUCAUAUCCAUUAUUCUUAUUUUUCUUUUUCCUAUGAUGUUCAUACUUCUGACUUAUGGGAUUGAUUCUUUUCUAUCCUAAAUAUCAACUUUUUUGGUUUAGAUUUGAUCUCCUUUCAUCCCCACCUCAAAGGUCAACCUUCCCCUCUUAACAUCAUAUUUUCUCAGUUUCAUGGUCCUAUAAUAUUCUCUUUUUAGACUAGACAUUGGUUAAUGGUGCUUUAGUAAUGAUCUUUUGCUCUAUUUCCACAUACCUUGGACUGGUGUCUACUUAUCUUCCAAACUCUGCUGGAAAGAAUCAGUGGCUUGUAGGGAGAGAAUCAAUAUAAUGUUUCCUUCUCUACCUCUUCGACAACCUCCUUUUCGGGGGUUGUCGGUGGAUUUUCUACCUUUUUCUCACAAGAACUCCCCUCAACCUUAUUAUCAUUCUCCCUAGAAUUUUCAACUUGUUUUUCACUUAUAUUUGUUACAACACUCACAUGUACUUAGAGUUUUGCUUAGGUUACUUUCGAAAUGACCCGCAUGGAGUGGAGGAAGCAGCUUUGUUGAGCUACUUGGGAGAUUUGAUCUCCAACAUUUUGGCAUGGGUGAAAAUAUUGUCAACCUUAGUGUCCAACUUCCUGAGUGUCUCAUUGGUGAGGAGGUUUUUAUUUCUAAACUCUUCAUUCAGGAGAGUUUGUGUUCUAUAAAACUUUUCAUCAUAGAUUCACUAUUAGAGUGAGUUUGUAUCUCAAUAAAAUUCUCUAGUAAAAUUUCGAGAUUGGAUUAUUGAGAAUUUGGUGGUUCCUCAAAAAUUGGAAGUGGUUGUUGUAACCCCGAUAAAUAAGUAAUUAUUAUUUAGUUAAUUUAUAUUUAUUAAUUAAUUAAAUAAUUUAGAAUAUUAUUGGAUUUUAUUAUUGAAUAUAUAAGUUGGAAUAAGAAAAAGAGUUUCAUUUGGUAAAGAGGGUUUUCACGUGAAAACAGAAGACGGCAGAGAAGUGGAGAAGGGCAAAAGAAGAGCAAGAUAACGAAGGUUGGAGAAGAGAAAAGCUUAAGCUAAAGGAUUGCCGUAACUCAUAGGUAAGGGGUUUAUCGUCGUUUAAUGGGUAUUAUGGGUUAACAUGUAAUGGGUAGUGAAUAAGCCGUUGAUUUGACCCUAAUUGGAUUAUGAAUGUUGAAAAAUGUUGAUGAAUGAUGAAUGUGAAAAUGUACAUUGAAUCGUAUUGGUUAUUGUGAUUUUCCGAACGUAUAGCUUUUUACGGAAUCGGAAUCGGAGGUCCGGAAGUCCUCCAACGGUGGAAAAUGCGGAGAAUUCUGCGUCCGUUUCGCUGUUAGCGCAGGGACAGCUUUCUGUCUUGCGUUAACCGGUUAACCCAGGGUGUUAACCGGUUAACACUGUUGUGAUUUAUGAGAAAUUGCUGUCUGUCUUGCGUUAACCGGUUAACCCAGGGCGUUAACCGGUUAACAUUGUUGAGUUUUGCCAGAAAGCGUGUUCUGUGUUGCGUUAACCGGUUAACCCAGGGCGUUAACCGGUUAACACUGUUGAAAAGUGGAAAAAUUAGUAUUUAUAUGUUGUGUAUAUAUUUGAUGGUUGGCCUAUAUCGGUGUAUGAUAUAGUAGGGAUCAUUUCCCGUUGUUUUGAGUAGUAUAGGUAUUAGUAGAGUGUGCUAAUAUUGUGAUUGACUUAUUUGGCAUGACAUGAUAUGAUUAUGUGAUAAAUAUGCUGAUGAUGUGUGAAAUUAUGCAUAAUGUUGUGAAUGUAUAUAUUAUGUAUGUAAUUGUGGAUGGACUGUUUUAUGGCUUAGAGUGUGAGCAUAUGUCCAUUGUGGAGCGAUGUUGAUGGUUGUAUGCUAGGUGAUUUAGCAUGCAUAGUGUGGCCUUUAUGGUGGUAGCUAAUUCCCAUGGUGAGGAAUUAGUGAGUUAGUCAUUGUGGACUGUUGUUGAUGUUUGCAUGCUAGGUGAUUUAGCGUGCAUAGCAUAGCCCUUGGGGUGGUAGCUAAUUCCCAUGGUGAGGAAUUAGUGAGUGAGUCACUAGGUCUCAAAUGAGUGGGACUAGUGAGCUUGGUAGCCGUAUCUGGGUUUGAUCGGUGAGGUUGAACUAUAUGUUCACGAAUAGUCGGUACCGCAUGCAUGGAGUCUCAUUGCAUAAUNNNNNNNNNNNNNNNNNNNNNNNNNNNNNNNNNNNNNNNNNNNNNNNNNNNNNNNNNNNNNNNNNNNNNNNNNNNNNNNNNNNNNNNNNNNNNNNNNNNNNNNNNNNNNNNNNNNNNNNNNNNNNNNNNNNNNNNNNNNNNNNNNNNNNNNNNNNNNNNNNNNNNNNNNNNNNNNNNNNNNNNNNNNNNNNNNNNNNNNNNNNNNNNNNNNNNNNNNNNNNNNNNNNNNNNNNNNNNNNNNNNNNNNNNNNNNNNNNNNNNNNNNNNNNNNNNNNNNNNNNNNNNNNNNNNNNNNNNNNNNNNNNNNNNNNNNNNNNNNNNNNNNNNNNNNNNNNNNNNNNNNNNNNNNNNNNNNNNNNNNNNNNNNNNNNNNNNNNNNNNNNNNNNNNNNNNNNNNNNNNNNNNNNNNNNNNNNNNNNNNNNNNNNNNNNNNNNNNNNNNNNNNNNNNNNNNNNNNNNNNNNNNNNNNNNNNNNNNNNNNNNNNNNNNNNNNNNNNNNNNNNNNNNNNNNNNNNNNNNNNNNNNNNNNNNNNNNNNNNNNNNNNNNNNNNNNNNNNNNNNNNNNNNNNNNNNNNNNNNNNNNNNNNNNNNNNNNNNNNNNNNNNNNNNNNNNNNNNNNNNNNNNNNNNNNNNNNNNNNNNNNNNNNNNNNNNNNNNNNNNNNNNNNNNNNNNNNNNNNNNNNNNNNNNNNNNNNNNNNNNNNNNNNNNNNNNNNNNNNNNNNNNNNNNNNNNNNNNNNNNNNNNNNNNNNNNNNNNNNNNNNNNNNNNNNNNNNNNNNNNNNNNNNNNNNNNNNNNNNNNNNNNNNNNNNNNNNNNNNNNNNNNNNNNNNNNNNNNNNNNNNNNNNNNNNNNNNNNNNNNNNNNNNNNNNNNNNNNNNNNNNNNNNNNNNNNNNNNNNNNNNNNNNNNNNNNNNNNNNNNNNNNNNNNNNNNNNNNNNNNNNNNNNNNNNNNNNNNNNNNNNNNNNNNNNNNNNNNNNNNNNNNNNNNNNNNNNNNNNNNNNNNNNNNNNNNNNNNNNNNNNNNNNNNNNNNNNNNNNNNNNNNNNNNNNNNNNNNNNNNNNNNNNNNNNNNNNNNNNNNNNNNNNNNNNNNNNNNNNNNNNNNNNNNNNNNNNNNNNNNNNNNNNNNNNNNNNNNNNNNNNNNNNNNNNNNNNNNNNNNNNNNNNNNNNNNNNNNNNNNNNNNNNNNNNNNNNNNNNNNNNNNNNNNNNNNNNNNNNNNNNNNNNNNNNNNNNNNNNNNNNNNNNNNNNNNNNNNNNNNNNNNNNNNNNNNNNNNNNNNNNNNNNNNNNNNNNNNNNNNNNNNNNNNNNNNNNNNNNNNNNNNNNNNNNNNNNNNNNNNNNNNNNNNNNNNNNNNNNNNNNNNNNNNNNNNNNNNNNNNNNNNNNNNNNNNNNNNNNNNNNNNNNNNNNNNNNNNNNNNNNNNNNNNNNNNNNNNNNNNNNNNNNNNNNNNNNNNNNNNNNNNNNNNNNNNNNNNNNNNNNNNNNNNNNNNNNNNNNNNNNNNNNNNNNNNNNNNNNNNNNNNNNNNNNNNNNNNNNNNNNNNNNNNNNNNNNNNNNNNNNNNNNNNNNNNNNNNNNNNNNNNNNNNNNNNNNNNNNNNNNNNNNNNNNNNNNNNNNNNNNNNNNNNNNNNNNNNNNNNNNNNNNNNNNNNNNNNNNNNNNNNNNNNNNNNNNNNNNNNNNNNNNNNNNNNNNNNNNNNNNNNNNNNNNNNNNNNNNNNNNNNNNNNNNNNNNNNNNNNNNNNNNNNNNNNNNNNNNNNNNNNNNNNNNNNNNNNNNNNNNNNNNNNNNNNNNNNNNNNNNNNNNNNNNNNNNNNNNNNNNNNNNNNNNNNNNNNNNNNNNNNNNNNNNNNNNNNNNNNNNNNNNNNNNNNNNNNNNNNNNNNNNUGUAUGGCGUAUAAUAUGAAUGGAUGUAUUCCAAUAUUAUACGUGUGUUUUGUGUUGGUGUUGAGUAUGAAUUGAGAUUAUACGUGUGCUUUAUGUUGGUGUUGAGUAUGAUGUUUGAGUUGAUGUGCCGUUGCUGAAUGUGUGUUAUGAUUAGGGUGAUGAAAUGUGUUAAUUUACUUAACAUUACAUGAUAUUUUAUAAUGCUUAUUAUAUCGAUUGAGGAACUCACCCUUACAACUAUUUUUCAGGUAACGAGCAGUGAUUGAGUAGGAGCUAGUACUUGGAGUCUAGUGUAGUUCCUUAGUGGGUCAUGCUCUGGUAGAUGUAACAUCGGGAAGGGAUGUUUUAAUUGUUUUAUUGUUGGUUGUUGAACCAGUUUACAUGUAAUGUGUUACAUGUUUUGCAUGAUUGAUUAGAUCUUUAUCCGCUGCGAAUUGUGCAAUGUUUUAUUUUGAUUAAUCAAAUGAGCAUGACAAGUUAUUUUGGUGAAUGGUGUGAAGUGAUUGUGUGACACCCUUAAUUGCAUAUCUACUCUGAUAUAUAUUUGUUGUUUUAAUUAAAUAUUUGGGGUAUUUUAGAAGGGUGUUACAGUUAUUGUAGAAAAAAUUUGGAUGAUCUAUCCAUCCUGGAUUAUAGGUAUUGGGAUAAAAGUCUUCAUGGUUAUUGCUCACAUAGUUGAACAUAUUUUAGAUAGACCCCAAUGCAUACCAUAAAAUAAACAAUAGAAAAUAAAAAGUUUCUCUAAUAUUUAUGAUAAUAAAAUAAAAUAGAAAUGAGUUCUUCACAUGCAAGGGUAGCGAGAGAACUAUAGCAAAAAUAAGAAUAUAUAAAAUAAUAAAUAAAAUAAUAAUUAAAAAAAUAAAUAAUAAUAAUAUAAAUAAAACUCUAGUCUAUUCGGUGAUUAAACAUAAAUUCAAUAUUAAUCAUAAUUAGUCCCCAACAACGGUGUCAAAAAUUUGACGCAGCCGCAAAUGUACGACUGUCGUGAAGUAAUAAAAUAGAUAUCGAACCACAAAGACCAAUGGUUUAAGUACCGAAUUCUUGUCCUAUUGGUGUAUAUCUAUAGAAAUCAAAAAGAGAGAUUUCUGGUAAACAUCUUAAAAGAAAAAAACAAUUAAAUAGAAAUAACUUAACAGAAAAAUCACUUAAAUCUCAAAUUGGGACAAACAUGACUCGGAGUUACAGUUCAUGUUUCUAACACAAUCAUAUGAUCCUAUUUAUGCCUAUUACGAGAAAUUUGCAUAAAUUAAAAAAAAAUAGGUAAAAUUGGGCACUACUUGCUUUCGCUAGUGCAUUACCCAUAUCAUCGACGAAUAACCUGACGACUUUUGCAUUAUCUGAAUUAUUAUUCGACGAGUCAUUACUUUUGCCUAGCUAUAUAUUUUCUCAAUUUCGUUAGUCGACUUUCGCAUCGUCCGGAUUAGGUUGUUUAAAAAUAUGUACUCCGGUAUUGACACAUAUCCUUUCAGACUAUGGUUGAUACCUGAGAAUCACUUACUUUCGUAACGAAGUUAGAAUGUAUGAACUCAGAUUAUAAAAUAAGUUAAAUUAAAAUUCUCGCAAUUGAUAACAAUAAAUCAUAUGAUGGGUCAGGAAACAAUCACCAUAACCCAUAGUCCCAAGGAAACUACUCACUCAUGGUGAAGGCAAACACAAUCAUAGAGAUAUUCAUCAUCAAACUCAUAACAAUCAAACACAAGGGAUAAAUAAUUUAAAAAGAAUAAAUUAUAAAACCUGAAAUAUGAAUAAUCUUGUUCCACAAAUGCUCCCUUGGUGACUUGAGUUACAAAGAAAAGUAGAACAAAAACUAGAAAUGAAAAGUGACAAAAGUUGGGAACCAUAAAUCAUUACAAGCAAUGAGUUUUAUAGGGAAAUAAUAAAAGUGCUAAAAAACUUUGGUUCAAUGCAAAAUAUUCAGAUUUGAUACAUAUCCAAUCAUACGUAAAAGCCACAAUUAAGAGUGAAUCAUUCUAUUUAUGGAAGAAAAAAUAAAUCUUGACUUUUCUCUCGCCUCCCUGCUACGGCCCGUAGCAGCUAUUACGGGCGAUCGUAGCAAACCCCUAGAUCUAGUACUAGAAAUCUUCAAAUAUAGGGGUCAUGGCAUCAUGUUUCUACGGUUGGUAGCAGCUGUUACGGGUGGCCGUAUCAACCCCCUGGUUUUUGUAUGGGAGAAAUUUCAAAAAUAUUAUUUUGCUUCGUUUCUCUUACCUUUGAUCCCUCUUUAUCUUGAAUGCUCAUUAGACCCUGGAAUUCACAAGAAAACACAAACCAAAGCAUAAAACAUGACAAAUGAAAGGAAAUUGAACAAAAUGUGGUAAGCAUGGAGAUGAUUUUGUACCUUUUCAUGUUGGGGGACCUUCUGAUGACGUGUCGCAGCUUACACCACCUUCACAUGGUGCAGAUGACACUCAUCGUCUGACAUCUGCAGAUGAUAACAUUCAUUAUGGAUAACUAAUGGAUUUGGUAAACCCAUAUGGUGAGUUUUUUUGGAAUCGCAAGUACCACACUUAGCCCGUGGAGGACCUAUUUAGACCUCAUUAUCAUUUUUGUAUUAUUUGUAGUAUUACUUAGACAUUUGCACAACAAAGUUUAUUGGAUAACAUUUUGGCACAUCCAUUAUUUAAUGAUGAACAUAACUUAACAUUUGACAAAAGGAUUGCAUAACUAAGACAAAAGAUUACUUAACUUCACAAAUGAAAAUCUCAACCCUUGAAUUCACACUUCCAGAUUUUUAAUAGAUCCACUAAAAAUCCGGUAUAUGAAGACUGGUUUUGAAAAAAUCCAUACUUUUUAAACUACAUGAUUUUUCAACAUUGAAUAAAAACUCCGGGAAAGAUAGGUACUUUUGAAAAAUCCAGUUUGUUUCAUCAUAUAGCGGUUUUUUGAAAUAUCUGGUAUACCUGAUUUUUUAUAUAGACUGUCAUAUUUUUUUUUUAUUUGUAGCGGAUACUUUAUUGGUCCUACCGUAUUUUUUGUCCGGACGUUUUAAUAAAUUAUGGCAUGGGUAAAAUACGUAUUAUGGAAAUAUGUGGGUGUGCAAGGUCAAAUUAUGGGGGUGGAAGGAUAAAUUCUCUUAUGGCUAAGAGGUAUAUUGGGAGGAAAAAUGAUGUUGGGCAUUUUAACUUAGUUUUAGCUCAAAGCAAAAAGAGGGUGUAAGUUGUAGUUGUGGGUUCUUUAAGACGACAUUAUUCAAAAUUUGUAUUUGAUAGGUUAACUUUGGAUGUUAUUGAGCUGAAAUAUAUGGGGAUUAAUUCUUCCACCCUUAUGGGUCCUCCCCCACCACCGGGAAAAGUCCCAAUUGCCCAUAGCAUCCAAAGAUGCAUCUCCAUACACACUUUUUUUAGCCAUUCCUCAAAGCAUAUUGAUGAGGCAUUCUAUUAUGCCAAAAUUUAAUCUAGAGAUGCAUCUUCAUAUGUAUAAAAGGGGAGUUUAAAGAUGUAUCUCCGUAAACACUAUUAAUUCAAAAUUCAGUGGAUGAUCCGGAGAUGCAUCUCCUAACACUUUUGUUUCAUAUGCUCGCGUCAUACCCUUCCUUCUUCCUCCUUCUUCAUUUUCUAAAAAGUAAUCAAACAACACCAUUUGAGCUCUCAAUUCUAUUCAAGCUUCUCAUCCAUUCAAGCUUAUACCAUUAGAGAUAUUUCUCAUCCUUUCAAGCAUCUCACCAUUCAAGCUUCUCUUUCUCGUUCAUUUGAUUUGGUAAGUUUGUCAAAAUUGUUUCUUUUUAAAUGUUUUGAUUUAUAGUUAGUUGUUUAAGCUACAUUAGUUGUUUAAGGUACAUUAGAUAGUAAUGGAGUCAAGAUAUGUAACCUACAUCUACAUGCAUUGACAUUUGUUUGGAGGGUUAGGGCAACAAUGGCGUUUCUUCCAUGACUUAGAAAAUCGCAAGUUUGUCCGAAGAAGCAUCUCCAAAUUUUCUCUGUGCUGUUUUCGAAGAUGUAUCUCCGAAUUUUUCUCAGGAUGAAAUUUGGUUAAAUUUGUGGUGCGACUGUCUGUUUGUAACGUAUGUGUAAUGGUUGAAAAUAACCAUGGCAUAGUUAGGCUCAGUCAUGUGUCUCAAACCGCAUCGGUUUGACGUGAGAGGGUCGCAACCAGGACCACGAGGUUAUGGGUUGAUGAUAACGCGUUUAAUGGUUUGCAACAUCGAGGUUUGUAACCAUAUGGUUCUACUUCUCAUAGUCACUUGUCUCAGGCCUCUACUUCACGGGGCCACGAGUUCUAAGAUAAUGCAACACCUGAAGCCCAGGAGGAACCAGCGGUCGAUGCCCCUUUAGAUAUUUAUCUAGGAUGCCUAUUUGACACAUUUUUACUUCAUCUUUAUGCAAACCAUGUUGCUAGGAAUUCCUGGGAAGGAAAAGUGUAUUUUUUUCCUUUGUAAUACAUAUGUUUUAAACUAAUUAAAUUGAUAUUGAUGGUGAAUAUUUUUUACAGGAGCGUUUGUGAUUGAAAUCGGUAAACCACUACUAGAAGAUAUUAGAAGUUGCAGAGAUGAUGGUCACCCAUUUGGGGGAUGACCCAACUAAGGUCGCAAAUGAGGUAGUUGACAUCGAAGGUGCUCAUGCUAUAUUUAUUUAUUUUGGAAUAACUUUAUAAAGACCAUCUACAUAGGAAUAGGGAUGCCGAAGGUGACGAUCUGCAUGUUGACUACCAUUAGACCUAGGCAUUGAGGUGUUACCUCUUGUUUUUGGUUGACACGUCCAUUUUUGUGGACAAAGUGCAUCCUACAUCAAUGGGGUCUACCUUAAGUACUUCAUCGACUUGAAGAUGUUUCAUAAGUACAACUUGAGGGCCACCUGUUUGGUCUACCUGUACUUGAAGUUGGGUGAGGGUUGUCUUUGGAAGACAAAGCAUAUGACAGGGAGUUGCAGACUACUUACGAUAAUUUACCAUUACUACUAUUUUCAUAAUUAUUUUAUUACACUUGUUAUUAAUAUUUUAUCUAAACCAUAUUUUAGGGAUGAAUCAUCUCCCACUUUCUUCACAUCAUCUGGUGAGAAGUUAUGCCUACCCACAUCGAGGAUUAACCAUCUUCUAUCGCCUUUGCGCCAUACAAAGGGAAUAAUAUGAUCGAGCAAUUUCAGAUGUAUCUUGACCAUACUCUAGCAAAUGACAUUUACUUCUGCCCAUACGAGGGUCACCACGAGACACGUAUGUUUAACCUCAUUUUUUUUAUACUCUAGAAGACUGGCAUGUGGGUCAUCUCUUAUGUAUCCUUAUCUUUCUGAGAGAGUGAUGUAUCAGUUUGGAUAUUUGAAGAUUAUUUCGAGACCCCCCCCCCCAUGAGUUUGCUUCUCCCACCAUUGUCCACAAAGAUCUUGAUGCGAUACUAGAGGAUUUCGAGAGUUACUUGGUACUAGAGGAGUAUCAUAAUGUGCUAGCUCCUUUAUGAAGAUUAUUUCGAGACCCCCCCCCCAUGAGUUUGCUUCUCCCACCAUUGUCCACAAAGAUCUUGAUGCGAUACUAGAGGAUUUCGAGAGUUACUUGGUACUAGAGGAGUAUCAUAAUGUGCUAGCUCCUUUAUAGCGGACUUAUGUUGAUGGCUACAUGACAUGGUUCGAUAGCGUGUCACACCUUAUCAUGACACAUACGCUAUUGGAAGACCACCUAGGUCAGCUAAUUAGGAGGUACUUGAGAGUAGGGAUGACCACAUCGAGGACAUGUCGGUGGUAUGUUAGUGUAUUAUGGAGAUGGGGAGAUCAGACAUAGAUGUGAGACUUUUUGAGGAUGGAAGUCCCCCGUUAGCUCUCAUAGAAGGCAUGAUUUUCGAGCCAUGAAAUGCCUUACAGUACAUGCGGAUGAGAAGGCGGGGGGUUAGGCAUACCCAAUAAAUUUUUGUUUGGUUGCAUUAUUUUGUAUUUUCAGAACAAUUUAUAUAUGGUCGGUACAUUUUGAUAAUUGUUUGACUUUUUCAUAAUUGCGUAAUAUGUUUGAAUCAAUUAAUGUAUGUGUUUUCCUUCUAAUUCAUGGCCUAAAAUGACCUAAAAUAUGUUGGCCUAAAAUGACCUAAAAUAUGUGUGCCUAAAAAAUUAUCAAAUUUAGUGAAUAAAAAAAAACAAUUGAGUGCAAAGGAUAUUUCGGAGAUGCAUAUCCAGAUACACCUAAAUAAUAUACGGAGAUGCAUCUCUGGACCAUAUUUUGUUCAAAAUGGGAUGUAUAUUAGAAAGACAAAUAUUUGUGUGAUUUAGGUGCGUUCAGAAAUGUAACUUCGGACAUAUCAAAGACAAUUUCGAAUUUCAAGAGAUGAGGGGCGCACUUCUAAAAAUGGAAAGAGCAUUUCCUUAAAUCUAUUUCCCCUUAGUAAAAUCCGUUGUUAUCAAGCCUUUCUCUUUUAACUGAGAUAGAUGUGAUUGUGGCAUAUGUGAGUGUAUGUAUAUAAUUCUAGGUAUGUGUCCAAGAUCUUAGUUUUGAGUAAUAUCUCAUAGUUACAUGAUUAGUUUUUUAAUGUAUGUAUCCUACUUAUUAAGUUUUAAAUAUGUUGCAUAAUUUUUGGAAAUUAUUGCAUGCAUUAAAAUAUAUUUUUCAUUCUUUUGGUCAUUUGAAUUGAUUACAUAAUUACUUCUUUCGGUUUUCAUUCAGACUAUAAGCGUGAUUUGGACAACAAGAAACACCAAUAGAUUCACAAACCCUACAAUCUCAGUGCAUUCAUCAACAAUUAAGACCAUUUUUAAAGGGAAAUUACGAGUAAUAGGGGCAGAUAAACAAAAAAAAUCUUUAGUGAAUCAUUUCAAAUUGUCAUGAUCAGUUGUUGAAUAAUUACUUCUUUUAAUGAUGAACCUUUGAAGUCGAAUUCAGAGAGUGAUCGUGAGCGGUACACGAAUGACAACACUUAUAUUCAAUCCACACAAAUAGAAUGUAUUCACUCACAGUGAUAACUAAUUUAAAUGAGAGAGAGAGAGAGAGAGAGAGAGAGUUUCAAAAAACUAAGAGCUUCUCAACUCGAAUUUAGUCAAACAAAAUUUUACUUCAGCACAAGGAUUCUAUUUAUAAUACUGUUCGUGUGGACUGCAAGUCGAACAAGCCUACCAAGCACAUUCUAACUUACAUUGUAUCAUAUUUCACUUAAAUACAUCGUAUCUUAUAAUGUUUCGUAUUGCACUUGAGUAUAUUGUAUCUUACGGUGUUUUUGUAUUACACUUAAGUACAUUGUACUUCAUGGUGUACCCCAUUUCUCUAAUUAACGAUAGUGCAUUGUAAGACUACACCAUCAGAUAAGAAUUACUUAAUUAUUUUUAUGUUUCAUCAAUCUAUUCUUAUGUGUGUGAUCACUUAAAUUCUUGUAACGUUGGCAAUUACAUUAAAUUACAUAUUUAAUAUAAUAAAUAAUGAGCGAUAUCACAUCCCAAAUCAUGAAAAUGUCAUGUGAUAUGACAAAACCUUUAUGUGAUAAUGUUUAUGUGUACAAUUACCAUUUUGCAGCAUGUCUAUAUUUAACACAAUGCAUAAAUCAUGUUAUCCUUUUCCAGUUCAAUAUUGACCCUAAGACAUUUAUCUUGUUACGUAGGAUAAGCAAAUUACAUCUAGGUCAUCUGUAUCCCUCAUCGUGAUUUGAGGAGUACCAAUCAAUCAUCUUUAUGUUCAUCUUGUUACAGACAAUGUUUGAACGAUAAUAAAAUACUCAACUGCACGUCUAGGAUCAAUAAUGGUUUUAGGUAGAAGGAUAAUAUACACCACUAUCAUCAUGAGAAUAACUUAUAACAUUGGCAUAACAUUCUAUGAAUAUUCUCAUGUCGAGUCAGUUCUAUAUAAAUAUCACUCCUAAUAUUUAUACAUAUGUAAUGACUUGAUAACUUUUUAUCCAUGAUCCGUGAGAUGUGAUCAUCAAUCUAUCCGUAUAAUAGUAUCUAUACCUUGAUGUUAUCACAUUUCAAAAUAAAACUUGAGUACAAAUACUUUAAGAGUAAUGUCAUAAUGUUUAAUGGAGUUUUACGAUUAAAUAAUACUUAAUAUUUCACCAAACAAACUAGCUAUUCUAUAGAUUUUAUUACUUUAGAAAACAAACAUAAUAAAGAAAUGUAUUAUUACUAUUAUUAUUAUUAGAUAAUCCAAUACAAAUAUCAAAUUCUAAUAAAACUAUUGUCUUUUAGGGAUUAAACCAACCGUGCCUUCAUUCAAUUGAGUUUGCACCUUAUAAAAGAAGAAUAAGUCUCAAACAAUUAAAAGAGAUUGAAAUUGCUCCAUCAGCUUCAAAUCAAACCAAAAUAUAAAAAAAGACACUUAAUAUUACCGUUGUUUUCUAGAAAUUCCCAUCAUAGAUUGGACGAAAAUAAAUAUCAACGACUCAGUGAUGAGAGAAACAAUGACAUAAAUUGGACGAAAAUAAACAUCGACAACUCAGUGAUGAGAGAUUCUGUGACGACCAAAGUCAUUGCCCGCGACCACUUAUAGGUAGGUGGCCAUAUGAAAAGCUUCUCAUACCAUUUGGGUAACAUAUCAAUUUCAUAUGUUUGUGAACUACAUAAAAAAAUAAAAUAUAAAUGACUUUAUAAAUAAAACAUACUUCAUAUCUUUGUGAAAUACAUGUGACUAUUAUUUUUAUUUGUGUCUGAUAAAUCAUCUAUGACACUUUUGGCCCCACCUUUUCGAAUUUAAAUAAAGUGAAGUGUCUCAAAGGGACCACACUGGCACACUGUCAUGAAUGGUUUAUUUAGACUCGAUGGUUGUGGUCCUUGUGGAUUGUGAGUAACUUAAGACUCAAUUUUGUGGUUGCUUGGUCUGUCAUGUAGAGAGAAUAUUAUAUGGGUAAUGUUGUGGUCACUGAACUUGCUAACUUGCAAAAACCUGUGCUAGUUUGAAUUGAAAAAGUGCCUGGCUCGAUGGUUAAUUCUUUUCUAAAUGACUUAUGUUCUUUGUGUUUUUUUACUCGUCCUUUGUUUUGUUGUAUAAAUAAGUACUAUUGGAAUCAUCAAAUGGUGGACAAUAAAACGUGAUCGAUGAAUUGUAUGGGUUAAUACUUUGACACGUAGUGAAAUUGAAAACCACUAGACACUUUAGUUUUUUAUUUAUAAAAAGAUCACUUGUAUUUUUAUUUUUAUUUUGCUAAAAUAAGUAUUCCACAUGAUAUCGUUUCUAUGAAAUAUAAAAAUUUAAGAAAAACUGUAAAAAAAUAAAUUAAAUAAUAUUCAUAAAUUAAGUAUUGGCAAAAAAUAUUUUAAUAAAAAUUAAAUACAGUAAUGUAGAUAUAAAUAAUUGUUUAAUACUUUAAAAAUGUUAAAUAGUUAUAUUAAUGUUUAACUAGGAAAAAUAUUUUAAAAGUAUUUAUUAGAAGAGUAGAAUUUAUUUGAUUAAAUAUUUUGUUAAAAAAAUUACUAUUAGUGCAAUUUCGUUGAAUUAAAAAAAGAGCCAAUUUUGUAAUAUUUAAAAAAAAAUUCAAAACUCCAUAUAUAUUGUUACACAUUAACGUAAUACAUAAUAUUUUUGUAUUCACAUUAAUACAUAAUGUGAAUAAAUAGUAUUGUGAAUUUCAGAUUAAGUGAAUUUUUAAUUAUUUAUGAAAAAAAAUAAAGGUGAACAUUUAAGUUCUCAUUGAAGUUAAUUGAUUAGAGAUUAUGAUCCAAUCAAACAAUGUCAUUUUUUUAGUAUUAAUUUAUUUUAAAAUAUUAAAAAAUUUAAAUUGAUUUUAACAAUAGGUACCAAUGUUCCUUCUUUUAAUUAUAAAAAUAACCAAUAUUUUCAAUUUAAAUAUCAAAAUAAUCAAAAUUUUAAAAAAUAUACUAAAAUAAUUAUUUUUUUAACUGAUGCACCAGUUGAACUGCCGCAUCCAAUUAAGCUAGAGAGGAGACGCCAUUGGAGUUGGCGCAUGCUUCCAAUUGCAUUGCACUUAGGUGUCGUGCUUCUUGGCGCAUGCAUGUGUGGUUUAGUGUAUGAGUCAAUGUCUCUGGCGUAUGCAUUGCCAUGUGUGUGUUGCGCCUAGGACAUUGACGCAUGCAUUUCAUGGUUCAUCUAUAAAUAACAUGCGCAUCUCCCAUAUUUUUGCACAAACUUCUUCUUACCCUCCAAUCCCAUUUUUUAUCAUUAUACUUCAAUCUCCUUCAAUUUUUUGUUUUUUAACCAUGUAUGAAUACAUUAACAAGAAAAAUGCCGAUUUAUUUUUUUCAACAGUCGCACCUCCGAUAAAGAUUAGACUUUGGAGUAUAGAAUCGUUUGAACGUCUUAAUCGGACGUUGAACCGUUGGUUAGAUGGAGAAAUUGCAGAUGGUGAAAGGAUUAGAAGAAUUCAAUGCUUGAGUCCACGUUCAACCAAAAUGGAGAAGUGCGUCUAUGGAUGGAUAUUAAGACUGACAUAGACGUUCACAGGAUGAUGUAUAAUAUGUUCAAAAUUAUUUUGAUGGUUGUAAUCGCUUAGUUAUAGUAAUGGUAUUUUAUUUGUUGUAGUCUGUUGUGUUGUUGUUUAUGUGUUGCUUGUGUGUUGAAUGUGUUGUAUUUGUUUGUGAUGGUAUUUCCUCACAAAGUUAUCAUAUGAAUUAAAUAUUGUUUUUUAUAUAAAGCAAAAUAGGUACAUGUAAUAUUAUCUUGUUGUGCUUGUUCCAACACUCAGACAGUUAGUACGAUUGUGAUCGAACUGGCGACAUGAACUACAUAAUCAAACUAUUUUGUUCGCCGUAUCCAUUUCGGUUCGAAUACGGGUGGUGUUUGGGCGACCUUUUUUCUUUCUUCGCAUAACUUCAUUGUGCCAGAGAAUGUCCCCUUGAUAUUCAUGUUAGUAAUCCUCUUUUGCAACAACUGAAAAGCUAUUUUUGUAAACAUUGGAUAGACUUAUGACUUUGUAAACGUCGGAUAGUAAGUAGGAUGGAUCCCUUUGAAUCUUUGAACAUGCCGCAAUGACAUGAGAGCAGGGCAUACGAAAGGCUUGGAAAUUUAUGCAGUUACACCAACCUCUAUCUAGUUCCACUUUGUAUUGUCCCAUCGGCAUGCCUACAUUGUGAUCCAUGGGCUCAACAACACUGUACCAACCUUUAGUACGGUCAAACACCGUGACCACGUGUGUGUUAGCUUUUGCAGCUUCGUGUCUAAUGAAUUUUAUUGAAGCAUCACUGAACAACUGCCCAUAUUGUAACAUUGAACUCCAUUUGAAACGUCUAGUCUCAAACAGCGCCCCUAGCCUGAAAUAUGUUGCUUGCACUAAAGCGGUUAUAGGUAGGUUUCAGAUGUCUUUGAAGACAGAGUUCAUUGAUUCCACAAGAUUUGUUGUCGUGUGGCCCCAACGUUGACCACUGUCGUAUGCCCUAGUUCACUUCUCCAAUGAAAUACUGUCGAUCCAUACUACAUCUGCGUUAGACAAUCUGAUGUCUUUGCGGUAGUGUUUGAAAGAAGGUUCUGUUAAUGCAUAACAUGCAUUGACAACCUUCUUCCGCAAUGCUUUGUCUUUGAUCUCUUGCAUAAAAUUUUGAGCGAUAUGUCUAAAAGGCGCCUCUUCUUUGCAUGCAUAAAAAGGCAUGCAUGCGCCACUAGCCUUGGCGCAUGUGACCAUGCAUGUCUUAAGCAAAGCAUGCACCUUAGCCUUAGGCGUCUACACCUAUCUCACAUACAUGUUCCCUAUCCCAUGCUUCACAUGCUGCAUAGCUAUUCACAUGUUGCAACAUUAUCUCAUCUAUAAAUAGGGCAACAACUCACAACACUCAACAUCUACAACACUAACAAUCAACCUCUGCAACACUCAACCUUUACAACACUCAACCUCUACAACACUCAACAUUUGCAGCAUUGUGUCUCUGUUGACUAUGGAUGAUGAACAUCGAGGAACAAUCGAUAAUAUCACGACAUUUGUAUGUUACUACUUCUUCUUACUUAUUUCGUACUUAUUUCUUACUUAUGUUUUUAUUGUUUAUUACUUCUUCUUACUUUAUUUCUUAUUUAUGUUUUAUUAGGACCCAAAACGAUUUAGAUGAUGUGUACAUGAAUAUGUAUCGCACGAUCCUUUGAUAGAACUAUAUAUUCGAGGAUGCGGUUUUGGUAAUCUCCUCAACAUAGUCUCAUACUCGGUUGACUACAAAUUUAUUCUUGCUUUGUUGGAGAGAUGGAUACCCGAGACCCACAUAUUUCACCUUUCUUUCGGUGAAUGUACCGUCACACUUGAGGACAUCUACAUUAUUGGGUCUACGUAUCGAUGGUAAGGCCGUACAUGAUAGAGUAUACUAGGAUAACUCUAUUUGCAAUGAAUUGUUGGGUGCCCCUUUGUGUGACGACCAAGUUACGGGAGAAACUUUUGGUCAAGCUAGGGAUCAAGGUAUUAACUUAAAAUAUCUCAAACAAUAUUAUGCGAGUAUAACAUUGACCGAAGAAUCUACCAAGUAUGAAAAAAUAAUUAAAGCUCAAUGUUAUAUUAUGAUUCUAUUCGGUAAUUUUUUAUUUCCCGAAAGUACUAGUAAUACGGUAAAUAUUAUGUAUUUACCGUUGUUACGAAACAUAAAUAAGGUAAGCACAUAUAGUUGGGGUUCAACUAUUUUGACCCAUCUAUAUAGUGCGUUGUAUAAAAAUGCCCAAAAAAAUACUUGUACGUUUUAUUCAUGCGCAUAUUUGCUACAAGCAUGAGGUUGGUCAAGAAUGUCGUCACUCGCCCCAGUAAACGAGAAGUCAUUCAUAUUCCCCUUUGUAACAAAGUAAGUUUAAAACUUUAACAUCUAAUUUAUUAGACUUUAUAUUACAACUAACUGUAAAUAAUAUUUUUGAUCUAGGUGGUCAGUUAAAGGGAUGAACUACAACAGGUGUCUGAAACACGUUAUAGUAGUCUAUCACAAUCUAUUGGACCACAUUGGACCAAACAAUGUAAUACUCCUAUACAAUUCUACUUUUGAUUUAAAAAUAAUUAUCAAAUUACAUAUCAUCUAAUCAUGUCAUAUUCUUGUACAGUUUAUCUGGAAGCCAUAUUUGGGUCUUGAUCAUCAGGUUAACCAUGAUGAUGAUGCAGUUUGGACAGCAAAAACACCAAUUAUCUGGUUCACUACUGUGGAGAUGCACCCGAGUGACCAGGUAAAAUUGCAGUUCGGCAUGCAGUAACGAAUUCCAGAACCUCCGACGUGUUUGGGAGAUUGACAUCAAUAAAGAGUCGAUGGCCAAUGAGAUUAUUCCGACUGGAGAGACUUCGCAAAAGAGAUGUGUCGUCAUGAGAGGAAUCGACGACAACACAUCUUAAAUGAACCAGUCAUAUAGGGUGCUAGACCAACUCAACAGUAUAUGGCAUGGUUUAGGUCGGUUACAACGCCACAAUUUAUGUCUGAGCCAAGGUAUUUGAUUGAUUCAUGCCAACUAGCUUCAUCAUCAUACACACAAUAACAAAUCCUCGUCCAAGAACAAUGUCAACCCACCCAAACCCAACAAACAACUUCACAUCAUCACCCUACCAUAUACACCCAACAACCAAACACCCAACCUCGCAACCCAUUCAUGCCACACACCCAACCUCAAAACCAAGAAUCAAACCCUAUCCACCAACAACCAUAUGCAGCCACCACAACAGUCUAUAGCCCAGAUGAUUCAUACGAUUCACUUCAUCGUAGCCCCCCACCAAUGACCACCCAAACAUCUCAUCGCCACAACACAUAACCAUUGUUUGACUAUAGUACACUCCAGGAACCAUUGAUUCGUUUCCAAACCGAUUCAAUGUCCCAAUUUGGGCAACCAUAUCGUCCACAAUUCACCCAACCACAACAACCCAACUACGACAACAUGGGCACCAAACUCAAUUACGGAAGCGUCGUUGGCGACAACCCCCCAGCUAUUGGGGACAAAUGAUAACACAUCUAUCAAAUAACGUUGAACCUUCCACCGCUCCUUCACACCAAUCAUCAUUGGAUCAUGUCAGCACUCAAAGACCCCAAACACCUUAGAAAAAUCGUGGGAGACCUCGAAGACAGACUAACGCACCUGGAUGUGAGACAGGGGGCCGUUUCAAUCGGGCGGGUCAUUGAAUUUCUUGUCAAUUCCAUGUAAUUUUUCAUUAUAAUAUAAAUAAAAUUUUUAUUUUCAGUAUUUUUUUAAUUAAUUAAAAUUUUAAUAUUUAAUUAAAAAAAAUUAAAGGUCCAUGUGCCACAUGCAUUGGCGCAUGCAUGCGCCAAGAAGCAUGACGCAUACAUGCAUUGGAUUUGCAUGUAUGCGCCAAAACUUUGAGCGCCUCCUCUCUAGCUUAAUUGGAUGCAUCAGUUCUACUGACGCAUCAGUUAAAAAAAUUGAUUAUUUUAGUAUAUUUUUUUAAAUUUUGAUUACUUUAGUAUUUUAAUUAAAAACAUUAAAAAAUCUCAAUAUCCAACUAAGAUUUUUAAGUACUAAUAUCCAACUAAACUUUAUUGGUACCAACUAAUUUACCAAAAAUAAAUAUACAACCUUUAAACCUUAUAUAGGUUUGGUUUUAAAACAUUUGGUAAAUUAAAGUACCAGUGUACAGGUCAUGCAUGCUUAGUGUGUCACUCGUGAUGGCUCAAUCAUGGCCCUAGUACAAAUAAUUUGGGUGGAAUGAAGAGGUGGAUUACUGCUUGCUUGGAAAAGGAAUCAAAUGUUAAAUAACAAACAACAAUUAAUUGGGUGUCUCAAGAAGAAGAUAUUUGCUAUUAUUUUUCUGUUAGAAAAAAAAGUUUGUAUAAAGAUCGUACAUAAUUUGAAUAUAUCAAUAACCAAUAAGUAUGAUUUGAUAAAAUAUAUUUUUUAAUCGAUGUAAAAAUAUCAAAUAGGAAACUUAUUUUAAAAUCGAGGGAGAAUAUUUACGAAUCUGUUUGAAAAAAAUAUGAAUUUAUAAAUUAUCUUAAAUAUUAAAUUUACUUUUAUAAUCUCUCUAAAAUAAUUUAUAAUUUAGGUAAAAAUAAUUUAAUUUAUUUUAUUAUAAAAAUAGUUUAUGGACAAAUGUUCAUCAUAAUAAAAGAUUAGGUUAAAAGUAUAAAUAAAAUUGCGUUGUUUACCUACAUAAAGACAUGAUUUAAAUGUAAACAUUGACAUAGGUAAAAAAAGGUUUUAUCUCAUUCAAUUUUUACAUAAUUAUUUUUAUUUUUACUUUUUCUAAGAGAAUUUUAAUCAUUUUUGUCUAAAAGAGUCUUAACUUUUUACUAAUGCAAUUUAUAUCUGCAUGUAAUAUUUUUGUAAGAAAAAGUUGGACGAAGUUAAAAGAUUAUAAGCUGAACAACAAGGUUUUGUGGUUAUAUUAUACGACGUCCGAUUUUACUAUUAAGAAAACAACAUUUAAGAUGGUUUACAAUGCAAAUGUUAUGUUAUUAGUUGAGAUUUACAUGUCUGCAUGACAUCGUAAGCAUUUCGCUAAAGAAGAGAAUGAAACAAGACCUAAGUGUGUGGUUGAUCUGCUCGAUGAAGUGGGGGAGUCUGUCAACAUCCAUGAAUUUGUUGUCAAGCAAAGAGCUAUCAGGAAGUACGACUCCAAAGUAGAUCCAACAAACAUGAAUGAGUGCAACCUUAUGCUCAAACACGUAGUGACACCUACCUAGAUCAGAAAAUUACUCUCCAAUUGGGAAGGUUUCUCCAUACAUGGUGCGCCCGAAGUUACCACAUAACGCGUAUAAACUUGAAGAGCUGGAUGGAAGACUUGUUCUCCGAACUUAGAACUCAGUGAACCCGAUAUAUUAUUAUAGCUAAUUUUUAUGUCUUUUUGAUCAAAUAAGGUGAUAGCAAUAAUCUCGUUAACGUGUAUGUUUUCAAUACUUGUUCAAUAAAUAAAAGGAGUAUGCGACCCUCCUUUUCUCUACAAGGACACAUAUUUGUAAUGAGGCACCAUAUUUUCCUAUUGACGUAUUUGAUGUAAUUUUUACAUGAUGCGUUAUUAUGUCUACUAACUAAGAUUCUAUGUGUAGACCCAUCAAGAAGAUUACAGAUGUACAUAUGGAUAUUUUGUCAAGAAAAAUAUGUUUGACAUUAUUAAUGCAUGUAUUGUUGAAAGAUUCAGUGAGGUAGUAUUAUUACAAUUUGAGUUUCAUUAACUCAUCCUUCCAAAAUUGAUUUGUAAGGUGAAGAUUUCCCUUACUUAUAAACAUAUGUUGAAGACAAAUAUUGUCCAGUUUGAGACUCUUAACACAUUCCUCAUGACUACAACUAUCAGACUUGAUGCAUGGAUAUAAAUGAGGGAUGACCCGAUAGCAAAAACUUGAUAGCAAAUGCUCCCACGAAUCUUGAACCAAACUCUCAUACCAUCUUUAUAUUGGGUUUGACCUAAAUCAUCCAUACAAAACUGCCAUGUAAGGUAAGGAUUACUAAAAUUUUAAUAUGGUAUUAUAGCCUUUUGUUAAGAUCUGUUAAGCCAUUUGCUAUUAAGUUUUUUCUAUCGAGUCACACACUAUUUAUAUCUAUGCAUCAAGUCCAAUGGUGUUGGUCAAGAAUGAGUGUGUUAAAAGUCUCAUAAUGGACAAUAUAUGGUCAAAUAUGUUUAUAAGUGAGGACAACACUCACCUUACAAGCUAGUUUUAUUGGGGUGAGUUAGGCCAAAAAUAAAAUUUGAGAUGGUAUUAGAGCCUGAUUCUAGAUCCAUUAGGUCACCUGAUAUUAGAUUUCUUUUAUCGGGACACACAUAAUUUAUAUCCAUCCAUCAAGCCCAACAAUAUUGCGUGUGAUGAAGUGUGUUAAGAGUCUCAGAUCAGACAAUAUAUGACAUGAACAUAUAUUUAUAAGUGAGGGGAUAAUCCUCACCUUAAAAAUCAAUUUUAUAAGGAUGAGUUAGGCCAAGAUCAAAUUUUAAUAUGGUAUAAGGGCAUAUCAAUCGAUCCACCCACUAUUUAUUACACACAUCAAGCCCAAUAAUGUUAAACGUGAUUGAGUGUAUUGGAAAACCAAGUCUCACCAUAUCGAUAAUUCGGGUCACCCACAAUUAAUAUACACACACCAAGCUCUUUUUCAAGAAUAAUGGUGAUCAGAUUCAAUGCUCGUAUCUCUUAUCACAUACUUUCUUCUAUUUGGAACAAUAUCAAAACCAAAAUAUCUGAUAUUAAAAACCAUGUUUGUUGGUUGGUUAGUGUGGUUCCAAAAUCAAUUUUUAGACAAAUAAUUGGAUGGGGUCGUCUUUGGUUCAAUCCCUCAAUGUCUCUCUUUUUAUUCAUCAACAUCUUUGUGUCAAAGUUAAUGUUAUUUUAACAAAAAAAAGGACUAUCCUUCAAUAUCUACAAAAAGCCUAUACCAACCUACUCAAUAUUAUUCACCAGAUUCACAUUCCUUUAGAUGACAAAUAAGAUUAGAUAAUAUUGCCCCAAGUAAUUUAUCUUUCAUUUUGUCACAGGCCAAAACAUGAGUUAGUCUAAGAAAAUUUGGUGCAAAUGUAUCUCUCCCUAUAAAUCACCACUGGUUUGGAGAAUUUUCCACAAAAAGUUUCCAACUAAUGAGAACCUCAAGGUUAGAGGCUGCAACAUUCCUUCUAUUUGAAAUCUGUGCAAGAAAUCUAAAAAAAAUACUAAUUCACUUAUUCAACAAGUGCUCGUUUGUUCUUUUUAUUUGGAAUUGGUUGACCUAAAAAACAAACACUACUAUGAACCUUGUUCUCCUUACUAAAUGUAUGAAAAUCUUUGAUACAUGUUGGCCCAUAUGGUAAGUUAGGCCUGCUUUCGUCAAUUAUGUAUACUCUCAAUGUUUUAUGGCUCUGCAAAAAUCAGAAGAGAUUCAAUAACAAAAUGAUUGACUGGAAAUCAACAAUUAGCAUGAUCAUAUCAAAGGUGAGAAAAACAUAAAAAAUGAGGGUUUUGAAUUGUGUUGCAUUUAAAUCUCUCUCUCUCUCUCUCUCUCUCUCUCUCUCUCAAUGUUCUCAAACGCAAAGAGUAUGUGGAAUAAAGUAAACAAAUUAAGGAUAAAGAAUCACACACACAAUAUUUAUAAUGAUUCAUCCAUUUAACGAGAGGAAAAUUUAAUCCCCUCACACUUUAGAGGUUUCCACUAUAAUCACACUUGAUUAUAGACAACUAUUAAGACAACAUAGUCUUAGAUUUAUUUACCCCACACUAGAGAACUUAAUUGCCUUACCACAUAUAAGGAUUUCCUUUCCUUAAACAUUUAAGAACUUAUUUUCCCCACACUAGAGGACUUUGAACAUAAAUUACAAAAUGAUUUGUUUAGAACAACUCACAUAAAAUGGUAAACAUAAUACAACUUUAUUACAAGUGACUAAAUUUCUUAAGAAAAUAUAGUGAAUAAAUGACACUUGUGACAUUAAUGUUAGUUCUUUGCUAAUAUGAGAAGUUUUACAAAGCUUACAAAUAUUCCAAAUAUUUUAGUAACACAACAAUAGUAUAGUUCAAUUGUGGUAUGGUGUGCACCCUUAAACAUUUAAAGUUGUCUUGUAUAUAUGACUUGGUGAUUCUGAAUUGAUGGAAAAUUAUCCUUGCUAAUCAGUUGGCCGUUGGAAAAUGAGUUGUUGGAAUUGUAUUAUAUCCAUGAAGUCCUUGUCCAUUCAUUCAUUGUAUCGAUCUUUAUCAUUUUAUUCCUAGUACAUACACAACUUCCGUGAUGUGAUCAUUGAGAAUAUUCUCUGUUGGUGACAUAUCAUAACAUGUCUUUGUCAUUGUGGUGUACAUGACCAUCCAUCUUUUCAUCUAGGCAUUGAUAGUUACUUGUGUUGAGUAUAGAUGUUCAUGCCUCUCUAGAUACAAAUAGCCAUUAUUGCCGCGAGGUGUAAAUGGUCGAAUUAGCAUUAGAACAAAUAUUCAACCUUGUUGAUUCAAGCAUAUAUGUUUAUCCCUUUCUUUAGGGAAAAUAAUCACAUCUUACUAAUUGAGUACAAAUGAUCAUUUAACCAAUCUUGUUGACAACACAUGUGGAUUGAAACAAAUUCUAGGCUAAUCACCUUAGUCUUUAAAUCUCCUUUUAUUAUCCUUUGACACUAUCUCUGAUGAAAGUUCAAAUUUAAUGCAUGGUGUGGUUUUUAGAAACCAUGCUCAUAACAAUUUUGGUUAUUUUGCCCUAAAUUUAGGUUGUGCUAAAGCUUCCAAAUUAUUGAGUGUUAUGAAUAGGGGUGACAAACAGGCAUGCCCGUCCCUGCAAAAGCUCUAAAAAAAUGGGGCGAGAAGAGACGAGCAUAGUCGAUGGUGCAUACCUAAAAUUUUGGAUCGCCUCGCAAAAAAGAUGAGUGCAUAGUGGAGCAGAUAUUCGAGUUUUGCACAUCUAAACUUAAAAAUUAUAAAAAUUCUUAUUAACGUCCGCUCGUACAAAAGUUUGAAAAAAAACUAGACAGAACGAGACAUACAUAUUAGAACAUGCAGACCUAAAAUCUUGAUCCAUCUUCUUGAAAAAGCAUAGACACAACAUAUAUGUCCAACAAACCGAAUCUAUUUUUCACCCCUAAUCAUGAAUAUUAUUGAACUUAUAUUUGUUAAAGAUGGUGAACAUUUAUGAAUUGAAAUAGAUUAUGAUUAUAAACUAACUAGUUAUCUUUGUUUUUAAAUUUUCUUUAUUCUUCGACAACUUAAAAACUACUUGUAUUUUUUCUUGUAUAUUUUGUCUUUGAGAGAGAUGCUACCCUCUUUGUAUAUUUUUUCUUGUUAAUAUAUUUGAGUUGGUUUUAAAAAAUACUUAUACACAUAUAACUAUAAAUAUUUAAUCAUUAAAAAUAUUUAACUUAAUUUAUAAAUAAUUUUAAGCCGUUUAAAAUAAUUCGUUAAAUUGACUUUAAUUGUUAAAAGAGUGAAAUUAUAUUUGACAAUGAUACACAUUAAAUUCUUAUUACAAUAUAUAUAGUUAAUGCACUCACCACAUAAGAGUCUCAUUAUAACAUACUCAAAUAGAUCAAUAAUCAACAAUUUUGUAAAAAAUUACUAAAAGCCAAUAAUCGAUUAUAACAAAGUAAGUAACAUUUUUACCUUUUCAAUUCAAUUAAAUUCAAAAGAAAUACAUCCACAAUAAAAACGAGCAAUUAACAAUAAUAAAUCACAAUUCCUCUAAAAUCCUUUUCCUUUGUCUUCUUCACUUUUUCUUCACCAUCUUCCUCUCCUUUUCCUUCUUCUUCGCCAUCACCAUCUAAUCCAGCAACACACCCAUUAUCUACUACUCUCUCUCCUACACUCACAUUACUCUCUUUCUUCACCCCAUUUGCUAAAAAUUCAAACUUUACAAUUUACACUCUUCUUUUCAUCCUUCAAAUCUAAACCCACCAAGCUUCAGUGUUCAUUUCCCUUUUCAGCUUGCGUGCUAAGAAAAGUAAGGAAGUGAAAAAGGAAGAAACUUUCCAUCUGGGUCAUGAGAUUUGGUGUGUUCAAUUGUUUAACAUUCAUCAGUUCUUAGCUUAGGCUUUUAAUUUGAGCUGUUUUCUAUUUACUUAGAUCUCUUUAACUUAGAAAUUGUCAAGUUUACUUUUUUAGGUUUUUCAGCUGUGAUACCAUACCAAUAAAUUUCCUUUGUAGAAGCUUUAACCUUGAAGAUUAAUCAUGCAUUCUUCUAAAUGAACUACUUUUUGGGGUAGUUUGGGUCCCAUCUGUGCUUAAAGUUUCAAUUUUUAGUACUCAAGUUCAGCUUUUUGCUUUUAUUUUGCACAAUAGUCAAAAGGGCUUUCAUUUUGUAAUCUCUUUUUCUCCUUUUUAAGUUAGCAUGGGUCUCAACACUGUCCAAUUUCAAGAUUCUCUGUUAAAUUCAUGGUGGUAACUUCCCAAUUUGUUGCAAGAUUCUGAGAUUUUCAUGGUGGUAGUGUGUGGUGGCUUGUUGAGUUUCUGAGCUUUGGACUAAGGUACCAAACUUUGCACAUUUUUUUCCACUUUUGAUUCUAUUUGAGAAAUUUCUUUGAAGCCCUUCAAAUUUGACAUCAUAGUUUACCUAAUAUUUGACUUCAAUGUAUGUGUUUUUUUGUUGCCUUUUAAGCUGUUUUCAUUGACAAAAACCUCUAACUUAUCUUAUCUUUUUCCACAGGUGAUUGGUGUAACUGUGAGUUUGUGAAAUUGAACUUAUCAUAAUAUAGACAUGCUUCAAUUGGAGUGUCUCCUUAGAUUAGCAUUGUUGCUUUGUGUUUCAUUUGGCUUCUUGUUACAUCCUGCUGUAACAGCUGUAAUACCAUUAGGUUCCAAACUCUCGGUUGUAGAUAAUAAUUGUUGGGUUUCCACUAAUGGCGAUUUUGCAUUCGGGUUCUUUAACAUUACCGACGAACCUAACCAGUUUAGUGUCGGCAUUCUUUCCACAUUCAAAGUCUAUUCCUUAUACGCAACAAACACUGUAUGGAUUGCUGGUGGUCAUGUCAAAGUAAGCACGUGUCGUAUUUCCAACUUACUCCACAAGGGGAACUUCUGUUUUGAUUCCUUACACGAGUCACUGCAUGGACUAGUGGAACCGGAAACGGAUCGGUUGUUUCGGCUGCUCUUCACGACAAUGGAAAUCUUGUUCUUAUAGAUGCAAAACAAAAGUUAUUUGGCAAAGUUUUGAUAAUCCUUCUGUAUACACUACUCCCGGACAGAGAUUAUCUGUAUCAAGAUCUUCGGCUUCAUCCAAGGACCUAGAGACUAGUUACUAUAGUCUUUACUUGAAUGCUUCUGGUCGGUUGCAGCUUCGUUGGGAAAGUAAUAUUGUAUACUGGACAAGUGAAAGCCAUUCUUCUACUGCAAAUCUCACUGCUUCCAUCACAUCCGAUGGAUCUUUUCAACUUCAAGACCAACAUUCUAAAGCUGUUUGGAGUGUGUUUGGAGAAGACCACAACGAUUCUGUGAGUUAUCGGUUUCUUAGGUUAGAUUUGGAUGGCAAUCUCCGGUUAUAUUCAUGGAUGGAAGAUUCGCAGUCAUGGAGAUCUGUUUGGCAAGCUGUUGAUAAUCAAUGCAAGGUCUUUGCUACUUGUGGCGAGCGUGGUGUCUGUGUCUUCAAUGCUUCAGGUUCUGCUGAGUGCAGGUGUCCUUUCAAGACAAUCGAAACUAACAAAUGUUUGGUUCCGAAUAAACAGGAUUGUGCUUCUGGUACCGAAAUGAAAGUGUACAAGAACAUAUAUCUAUAUGGAAUUUACCCUCCCGACGAUUCGAUUGUCAUGAGUAGUUUGCAGCAAUGUGAACAGUUGUGCCAGAAUGACUCCCAGUGUACAGUUGCAACCUUUUCGAACAUCGGUAGUCCACAAUGUUCCAUAAAGAAAACAAAAUACAUAACUGGCUAUGAAGAUCCAUCUCUAACCUCAAUAUCAUUUGUUAGGAGUUGCGCAGAUCCAUUUGCUGUAAAUCUCAGUUUCACAAUGUCGCCUCCAUCAGAACCGUCUCCUCACAGGCUUUGUGUUUCUUGCUUGGUAGGAGCAGCGUCAGGAACAUUUUUCAUUGUUGGUUUUGUCCAGCUGGGAAUUGUUUUCUUCAUAUGUAGAAGAAAAAGUUCUACUAUGAGAAGAGUCACACUAGCAUUCACAUUCCCAAAUUCGAAAGGUUUGAUGGUGUUAUCCUUUGCAGAAAUCAAGAGCGUCACCGGAGAUCUCAAGAAUCAAGUUGGGCCAAAUAUGUUCAAGGGCGUGCUACCAAGCAAUCGUGUAAUUGCAAUCAAAGACCUGAAUGCAUCCAUAGACGAAAGGAAGUUCCGGAGCGCUGUUCUGAAGAUAGGGAACAUCCACCACAAGAACCUAAUGAAGCUGGAGGGUUACUGUUGUGAGUUCAAUCAUCGGUAUUUGGUCUACGAAUAUCCCAAAAAUGGCUCGUUGGACAAGUAUUUAGACGAUUGUACUCUUUGCAAGAAGCUAACCUGGAGAAAGAGAGUUGAAAUAUGCUCAAGUGUCGCGAAAGCAAUCUGUUAUUUGCAUUCGGGGUGUAGGGAGUUUAUAAGCCACGGAAACUUGAAAUGCGAGAAUGUAAUGUUAGACGAAAAUUCAGUUGCUAAGGUGUCUGAGUAUGGAUUUGCAAUAGUUAACGGUGAGGCUACAUACUGCGGCUUUUCAGCAGAAAAAGACGUAGCAGACUUUGGCAAAUUGGUGUUAACCUUGUUAACCGGGUGUCGCGAUCACGAACAAGUCUGCGAAUGGGCUUACAAGGAAUGGCUAGAAGAAAGAGCAACUAAUGUGGUAGAUAAAAGAAUUGACGGUUGUGCUAAUUCGGACGAACUCGAACGUGCAUUAAGAAUCGCGUUCUGGUGCGUUCAAAGCGACGAACGUAAAAGACCUUCGAUGGAAGAGGUAGUGAGAGUACUAGAUGGUACAUUGAAUGUUGAUCCACCACCACCUCCAUUUCAUUUGGCAUUUGAUCCACAAGAGAAUGGUUCAGAGUCAGAAAUAGAAUCAGUGGUUUAGUAGUGUUUGUUAUGGUAAGUUUACAUUUUUUGUUGCCUUCAGAUUGAACAUGUAUAGUAUAGGACUAGACUAACAUCUAGGGGAAAAAUAGGCAUGCCCUUAAAAUUUUGUCCCUCAAAGCUAUAAGAGGGCACUGAUUGUAAAGUUUGAAAACCAUGUUCAUUUGAGUUUUAUGGCAUCUUUCUGAUUUUAAGUCUUUUUCUGAAUAUUGCAAACAAAGUUAGUAACAAAUUUGUGGUUGUUUAAAAUAGAUGGGGUAAGGUAAGUAAUGAUAUGUCUAUCUUUUGUUAAUUAAAUGACAUGAAUUCAAAAAAUUUGUAUUAUUAAUU